rnacentral:rRNA from 1 species
UACGAAGGGGGCUAGCGUUGCUCGGAAUCACUGGGCGUAAAGGGUGCGUAGGCGGGUCUUUAAGUCAGGGGUGAAAUCCUGGAGCUCAACUCCAGAACUGCCUUUGAUACUGAGGAUCUUGAGUUCGGGAGAGGUGAGUGGAACUGCGAGUGUAGAGGUGAAAUUCGUAGAUAUUCGCAAGAACACCAGUGGCGAAGGCGGCUCACUGGCCCGGAACUGACGCUGAGACGCGAAAGCGUGGGGAGCAAACAGG